UUUAACGUUGCCGGAAGAGCGUCCAACCAACUAAGACAUUUAAUAUUCAUGAGCCAAACCUUCGCCUUCUUAGGCUUCGUUAACUGGCUGCACGACAAACGCAAAGCUGCCAAACGUCUGCCUUUCACCCAAUCGGGACAGUGAGAGUGGAGAUUGUCCCAGCUUCCGCUGCCUUUGUCAUUUGACAUUCAGCCGAAGAUGUGGGUGAAUGGGAGCACUGGUCUCUACUGAGAAUGAAGAGCCAGACGUGCUCCUUUAGGAGCCUGCGAGAUCUGUGUUUUUCUCUCACUGUGAUGGAAAGUGAUCAAGGCAACAAGUCCCAGUAGAGGUAACGUCUAGUGAUGGUCACAUCCUCGACAGGAUCUCUAGCUGCUGGGAAGGUCAAGCCUGAUGUGUGCAGUCGCCUAGGGUUCAGACAUACCCAACAUUCAUCCAAGUGAAUUGUACUGUGGUGUCAUGCAGUGGUUAGUCAUUAGUAAACGUGCAAAGGACAGACUACAGCGUUGUGCACACGUGAACAGGCAGAGAGGAUGUUUCGACACUGUGCUCAUCAAAUAAGUUUUAUAUUAAAGCUUCAUUUGCUGCUAGUGAAAGGUUUUGAUGUAAGCUGCAGGAGUUAAAAAAACUAAAUUAUAUUCACUCUUAAUAAUAUGGGGUUAUGAGUUAUG